AUGUCCAACAUUUUGUUUUCUAAGAAAUUUCUUGCUAGGCUCACAUCUAUCAUCAGGAAUUUUUGGUGGACAGGUAUUAAGGAUGACUCUACUAGAAGGGCUCUAUGUUUGAGAGCCUGGGCGGACAUAUGCACAGAUAAGAAGAUAGGAGGCCUAGGAAUUAGGAAUCUACAAGCCAUCAACCAAAGUUUAAUUCUUUCUGCAGCUUGGAGAAUAGCUAAGGAGCCUAACAGUAAUUUGGCUCUUAUUCUCAAGUCAAAGUACUAUGCAAAUACCUCAUUUUGGAGAGCAGAAGCCAAUAUGCCUAAGUCAGCUUUCUGGACAGCCAUAUUGAAGGUAAGACAUCUACUGAGCUCUGCAUCUUUUUAUCAACUUGUGGAUGGAAGCUCCUCCAUUUGGAGCUCUCCAUGGUUCUCUAAAUGGCAAGAUAUUUAUUACAAUUUGAAUAUUCAACAACCACCUUACUCCUAUCCAGCUGUAGUAAAAGAUCCGUGGUCCAAUAAUCAAAAGGUAUGGAACACCCAACUAGUUAAUACCUUGUUUACCCCUGAAACUGCGGCUGUCAUCUUGCAAACCCCUAUAGUUGAUUCUCUAGGCCAUGAUUUGCUUGUAUGGAAGCUAACCCCUGCAGGUGAAUUCUCAACCAAAAGUGCCUACAAGCAUUGUUACAAAAAUGUUGAGCUCCCUAUUAAUCAGAGACCUAAGCCAGUGCCACAACAGGUAAUCUCUCUUCUCAAUCAGGUUUGGGCAGAAAAAAUGAUGUUACCCAGGGUUCAAACUUUUGCUUGGAGACUACUUCGGCGAGCCCUAGCUACUGGGAAAAGAGCAGUGAGAAAUGACUAUUUAUUUAAUCGCAAGAACAUUAAGCCAGAGCAAGUCUUUGUUGUGUACAAUGCUGUUAUGCAGGACACAGACACUUCACUGAUGAAGGAGUUACAUGUUCAUGAUUCAACUUGGAAGGGACAUCACGGUCAGCCAGAACAGCUAAAGCUUUCUACUGUUCUUACUUCUCAGUCUACAAUAGAUUUUCCAGGUACACAAAUAUACUCAGAUGCAGCUUGGUCGUUGGAGCCAGGACAAGCUGCAGCAAAGGCGGGUAUAGGUGUUUUUCUACAAAUUAACGGGCAACAUACCGACCAUCUAUACAUCUCUGCUGUGUCGUCACCAGUAGCAUCAGCUUUGCAGGCAGAAGCUUAUGGACUGCUGUUGGCGGUGAAGAUUGCAGCUCAACUACAUGUGCAGGAUCCGAAGUUUUUGACAGACUCUGAAGUGCUUGCCUCAGCGGUUGUACAACCUGAUAUUACUAAAGCAGGUCCGUGGGCUAUCCGGCCAAUCUUAGCUGCUAUCCAGACCACGCCUUCAUUUCAUUCAUAUAGAAUACUCAAAGUGCAGAGAAGUCUGAAUUUCAAGGCACACCAUCAGGCUAGACUUGCUGUCAAAGUGCAAGAUAAACCUUUUAGCUCUACUUGCCUACAUUCAGAUCAAGGUUUAGGUACUAAUUUGGAACGAUUUCCUACCUGUAAUGAGCUAUCAGCAAUGAGUGCUCAGCCACUCGAGCUGCUAUUUGUAAAGUGUGCUUAA
rnacentral:rRNA from 1 species